GAUGAGGUGACCGAGUGGUUAAGGUGAUGGACUGCCAUCCCAUUAUGCUCUGCCUGCAUGGGUUCAAAUCCCAUUUUCAUCA